AAGCGCCCGUCUGGUCCGCAUGAAGCAGACUUCGUUAAUAGGAAAUCAUUACACAGCAUCAAUGUACAGAUGAUUUGUGAUGCAGAUUGCAUCAUCACAAAUGUAGAGGCAAAAUGGCCUGGCUCAGUGCAUGAUUCCAGAAUCUUUCGGGCCUCUUCUCUUUCCCACCAACUGGCACAAGGUCAAUUCUCAGGAGUUUUGCUGGGAGACAAGGGAUAUGCAUGCCUGCCUUAUCUCUUGACUCCCUAUCAGGAGACGCAGACUGAGGCACAGCACAACUACAAUAUUGCCCAUGCACGCACAAGAG